rnacentral:rRNA from 1 species
UACGGGGGGAGCAAGCGUUGUUCGGAUUUACUGGGCGUAAAGGGCGCGUAGGCGGCGCGACAAGUCACUUGUGAAAUCUCCGGGCUUAACCCGGAGCGGCCAAGUGAUACUGUAGUGCUAGAGUGCGGAAGGGGCUACUGGAAUUCUCGGUGUAGCGGUGAAAUGCGUAGAUAUCGAGAGGAACACCUGCGGCGAAGGCGGGUAGCUGGGCCACUACUGACGCUGAGAAGCGAAAGCAUGGGGAGCGAACAGGA